rnacentral:rRNA from 1 species
AUUGAACGCUGGCGGCAUGCCUUACACAUGCAAGUCGAACGGUAACAGGUCUUCGGAUGCUGACGAGUGUCGAACGGGUGAGUAAUACAUCGGAACGUGCCUAGUAGUGGGGGAUAACUACUCGAAAGAGUGGCUAAUACCGCAUGAGAUCUACGGAUGAAAGCAGGGGAUCGCAAGACCUUGUGCUACUAGAGCGGCCGAUGGCAGAUGAGGGAGUUGGUGGGAUAAAAGCUUACCAAGCCGACGAUCUGUAGCUGGUCUAAGAGGACGAUCAGCCACAAUGGGACUGUGACACGGCCCAGACUCCUACGGGAGGCAGCAGUGGGGAAUUUUGGACAAUGGGCGAAAGCCUGAUCCAGCAAUGCCGCGUGCAGGAUGAAGGCCUUCGGGUUGUAAACUGCUUUUGUACGGAACGAAAAGCCCCGGGUUAAUACCCUGGGGUCAUGACGGUACCGUAAGAAUAAGCACCGGCUAACUACGUGCCAGCCGCCGCGGUAAGAC